GACGAACGCUGGCGGCGUGCUUAACACAUGCAAGUCGAACGGAAAGGCCCUGCUUUUGUGGGGUGCUCGAUUGGCGAACGGGUGAGUAACACGUGAGUAACCUGCCCUUGACUUUGGGAUAACUUCAGGAAACUGGGGCUAAUACCGGAUAGGAGCUCCUGCUGCAUGGUGGGGGUUGGAAAGUUUCGGCGGUUGGGGAUGGACUCGCGGCUUAUCAGCUUGUUGGUGGGGUAGUGGCUUACCAAGGCUUUGACGGGUAGCCGGCCUGAGAGGGUGACCGGCCACAUUGGGACUGAGAUACGGCCCAGACUCCUACGGGAGGCAGCAGUGGGGAAUAUUGCACAAUGGGCGGAAGCCUGAUGCAGCAACGCCGCGUGCGGGAUGACGGCCUUCGGGUUGUAAACCGAUUUCGCCUGUGACGAAGCGUGAGUGACGGUAAUGGGUAAAGAAGCACCGGCUAACUACGUG
rnacentral:rRNA from 1 species